CAUGCAAGUCGUGCGAGAAAGUAUCUUCGGAUAUGAGUAGAGCGGCGGACGGGUGAGUAACGUGUAGGAAUCUACCUAGUAGAAGGGGAUAGCCCGGGGAAACCCGGAUUAAUACCGUAUACCUCCUUCGGGAGAAAGAAGGCCUCUCUUUGAAGCUUUCGCUACUAGAUGAGCCUGCGUAAGAUUAGCUUGUUGGUGAGGUAAAGGCUCACCAAGGCUACGAUCUUUAGCUGGUCUGAGAGGACGAUCAGCCACAUUGGGACUGAGACACGGCCCAGACUCCUACGGGAGGCAGCAGUGGGGAAUAUUGGACAAUGGGCGCAAGCCUGAUCCAGCCAUACCGCGUGUGUGAAGAAGGCCUUCGGGUUGUAAAGCACUUUAAGCAGGGAGAAAAAGUUAUAAGUUAAUACCUUAUAACCCUGAUGUUACCUGCAGAAUAAGCACCGGCUAAUUCCGUGCCAGCAGCCGCGGUAAUACGGAAGGUGCAAGCGUUAAUCGGAAUUACUGGGCGUAAAGCGCGCGUAGGUGGUUUGUUAAGUUGGAUGUGAAAGCCCUGGGCUCAACCUAGGAACUGCAUCCAAAACUAACUCACUAGAGUACGAUAGAGGGAGGUAGAAUUCAUAGUGUAGCGGUGGAAUGCGUAGAUAUUAUGAAGAAUACCAGUGGCGAAAGCGGCCUCCUGGAUCUGUACUGACACUGAGUGCGAAAGCGUGGGUAGCGAACAGGAUUAGAUACCCUGGUAGUCCACGCCGUAAACGAUGACACUAGCUGUUGGGAGACUAUGUCUUUCAGUGCGCAGCUAACGCUUUAAGUUGUCCGCCUGGG
rnacentral:rRNA from 1 species